UACAGAGGGUGCAAGCGUUGUUCGGAAUUACUGGGCGUAAAGGGCUCGUAGGCGGUCUGUCACGUCGGGAGUGAAAACUCAGGGCUUAACCCUGAGCCUGCUUCCGAUACGGGCAGACUAGAGGUAUGCAGGGGAGAACGGAAUUCCUGGUGUAGCGGUGAAAUGCGCAGAUAUCAGGAGGAACACCGGUGGCGAAGGCGGUUCUCUGGGCAUUACCUGACGCUGAGGAGCGAAAGUGUGGGGAGCGAACAGG
rnacentral:rRNA from 1 species